rnacentral:tRNA from 1 species
GCGGGGUGGAGGGGGCGACGCUAGCCCCUAUGAUGAGUCAUCUGGCUUCGAACCAGAGGGUCGGGAGUUCGAAUCUCUCCGGGCGCG